rnacentral:rRNA from 1 species
UACGGAGGGGGCUAGCGUUGUUCGGAAUUACUGGGCGUAAAGCGCACGUAGGCGGUUUAUCAAGUCAGAUGUGAAAGCCCCGGGCUCAACCCGGGAAUAGCAUUUGAUACUGAUUGACUAGAGGCCGGGAGAGGGUAGUGGAAUUCCCAGUGUAGAGGUGAAAUUCGUAGAUAUUGGGAAGAACACCGGUGGCGAAGGCGGCUACCUGGACCGGACCUGACGCUGAGGUGCGAAAGCGUGGGGAGCAAACAGG